AUUGAACGCUGGCGGCAGGCCUAACACAUGCAAGUCGAGCGAGCGGCGGACGGGUGAGUAACACGUGAUAACCUACCUAUAAGACUGGGAUAACUUCGGGAAACCGGAGCUAAUAACGGAUACUUAUGGAUGGAUCCGCGCUGCAUUAGCUAGUUGGUAAGGUAACGGCUUACCAAGGCAACGAUGCAUAGCCGACCUGAGAGGGUGAGCGGCCACACUGGGACUGAGACAAGGCCCCGACUCCAACGGGAGGCAGCAGUGGGGAAUAUUGCACAAUGGGCGCAAUCCUGAUGCAGCCAUGCCGCGUGUAUGAAGAAGGCCUUAGGGUUGUAAAGUACUUUCAGCGGGGAGGCGUUACCCGCAGAAGAAGCACCGGCUAACUCCGUGCCAGCAGCCGCGGUAAUAC
rnacentral:rRNA from 1 species